GGGCAAAGAAAAGGAGGAGAGAGUGGGGCUGUUUCAGGACUAUUGCUACAGCUGAGUCGACUCAGUUCAUCCCACCAAGUCACUGAUGCAACUGCCGAGUUGUUGGGUCAGGCCUCCGUUGAUUCAUUAGGUGAGGGAGAGAAAGAAAACAGGAAGGAGAGAGUGAUAGAGGAGAGAAAGGAAUGAGAGAAAGAGAGAGGUAGUAGGUGGGUGGUUGGUUGAGCCGAGUCAACUCGGUUGGGACCAAGUUCAGCUAGGCCGAGUCGACUCGUUGGAUGUUGAGUUGGGCCGCAUUUCUCCCGCCUAGGUAGUGCAGGUGGCCCCUUAUAUUGGUGAGGAGCAGGCUAUGGUUGACAUGGGUGCAUAAUUCUAUCUGCUAAGGAUUGCUACAGGAUUUCAUAGUUCAAGAUUGUUGCAGUUUACCUUGUUUCACAUGUAAUAUUAUUUCAUUUUGUAUUCGUGAAAAUGGAGACAUUGGUUUAUAUAAGUCAUUAUGGGCAACCACUUGUAUAUUCUAAAUAAAAAUUGAAACUUCCCUUUAUGCUUACUUGUCCA